UCUGGUGGCGAUGGCGAGAAGGUCACACCCGUUCCCAUACCGAACACGGAAGUUAAGCUUCUCAGCGCCGAUGGUAGUUGGGGGUUUCCCCCUGUGAGAGUAGGACGCCGCCGGG
rnacentral:rRNA from 2 species